rnacentral:rRNA from 1 species
CGGGUGAGUAACGCGUGGGUAACCUGCCCUAUACACACGGAUAACAUACCGAAAGGUAUGCUAAUACGAGAUGAUAUAAGAAAUUCGCAUGUUUUUCUUAUCAAAGCUUUUGCGGUAUAGGAUGGACCCGCGUCUGAUUAGCUAGUUGGUAAGGUAAUGGCUUACCAAGGCGACGAUCAGUAGCCGACCUGAGAGGGUGAUCGGCCACAUUGGAACUGAGACACGGUCCAA